UACGUAGGGUGCAAGCGUUAAUCGGAAUUACUGGGCGUAAAGCGUGCGCAGGCGGCUUUGCAAGACAGAUGUGAAAUCCCCGGGCUUAACCUGGGAACUGCAUUUGUGACUGCAUGGCUGGAGUGCGGCAGAGGGGGAUGGAAUUCCGCGUGUAGCAGUGAAAUGCGUAGAUAUGCGGAGGAACACCGAUGGCGAAGGCAAUCCCCUGGACCUGCACUGACGCUCAUGCACGAAAGCGUGGGGAGCAAACAGG
rnacentral:rRNA from 1 species